AUUGAACGCUGGCGGCAUGCCUUACACAUGCAAGUCGAACGGCAGCACGGGAGCAAUCCUGGUGGCGAGUGGCGAACGGGUGAGUAAUGUAUCGGAACGUGCCCAGUCGUGGGGGAUAACGUAGCGAAAGCUACGCUAAUACCGCAUACGAUCUAUGGAUGAAAGCGGGGGACCGUAAGGCCUCGCGCGAUUGGAGCGGCCGAUAUCAGAUUAGGUAGUUGGUGGGGUAAAGGCCUACCAAGCCGACGAUCUGUAGCUGGUCUGAGAGGACGACCAGCCACACUGGGACUGAGACACGGCCCAGACUCCUACGGGAGGCAGCAGUGGGGAAUUUUGGACAAUGGGCGCAAGCCUGAUCCAGCAAUGCCGCGUGCAGGAUGAAGGCCUUCGGGUUGUAAACUGCUUUUGUACGGAGCGAAAAGGCUCUCUCUAAUACAGGGGGCUCAUGACGGUACCGUAAGAAUAAGCACCGGCUAACUACGUGCCAGCCGCCGCAGUAACAC
rnacentral:rRNA from 1 species